GGCCGAGUAGCUCAGUUGGUAGAGCAGGGGAUUGAAAAUCCCCGUGUCGGCGGUUCGAUUCCGUCAUCGGCCACCA
rnacentral:tRNA from 1 species